rnacentral:rRNA from 1 species
CUUCCUUUUCGUGUAGGUGCACGAGGGGAAGUAAUUAUAACAGUGCCCUCUGAUGCAUGUCAUGGGUUUAGAUGGGCUCUUCUCGCAGGAGGUGGGUUUCCAUACACACCGUGAACUGUGGCUUCGGCCAUCACAAACUGUUAGUAAUGAAUGUAAAAUCAUAACAAAAACAAAACUUUUAACAACGGAUUUUUUGGCUCUGGCAUCGAUGAAGAACGCAGGGAAAUGCGAUAAGUAAUGUGAAUUGCAGAAUUCAGUGAAUCAUCGAAUCUUUGAACGCCCCUUGCGCCCUUUGGUAUUCCGAAGGGCAUGCCUGUUUGAGUGUCAUGAAACCUCACCCCACUUGGGUUUUUGCCUGAGCGGUGGUGUAUUGGGUGUUGCCUUGAAAAAGGCUCGCCUUAAAGACAUAAGCACCUUGGAUGUAAUACGUUUCAUCCUUCGGGGUGGCUGAUACCCCCACAUAUUCAUGAUCUGGCCUCAAAUCAGUAGCAGCCCAGUCU